rnacentral:rRNA from 1 species
UACGUAGGGUGCGAGCGUUAAUCGGAAUUACUGGGCGUAAAGCGUGCGCAGGCGGCUUUGCAAGACAGAUGUGAAAUCCCCGGGCUCAACCUGGGAACUGCAUUUGUGACUGCAAGGCUAGAGUACGGCAGAGGGGGAUGGAAUUCCGCGUGUAGCAGUGAAAUGCGUAGAUAUGCGAAGGAACACCAAUGGCGAAGGCAAUCCCCUGGGCCUGUACUGACGCUCAUGCACGAAAGCGUGGGGAGCAAACAGG